rnacentral:rRNA from 1 species
UACAGAGGGUGCGAGCGUUAAUCGGAAUUACUGGGCGUAAAGCGAGCGUAGGUGGUUGAUUAAGUCAGCUGUGAAAUCCCCGGGCUUAACCUGGGAAAGUCAGCUGAUACUGGUUAACUAGAGUAUGUGAGAGGAAAGUAGAAUUCCAGGUGUAGCGGUGAAAUGCGUAGAGAUCUGGAGGAAUACCGAUGGCGAAGGCAGCUUUCUGGCAUAAUACUGACACUGAGGUUCGAAAGCGUGGGUAG